GGAGCUGCCCUUCGCCGCAGGCCGCCGCCGUGCCACUCGCCGUUGUUCCUCUUCUGCUUCACGUGAGACUACUGGUGCACGGGCGGGAGGAUUUCCCUAGCCCUGCCCCGUCCUCUCAUCUCUCGAUCUGAUUGAAGCCACGGCCCGGGAAUGGCAGCUGAGUCGUCGGCGGUGGCCGACAUGCGGAAGGCGCCCUCCAUUGAGUGGCGGUGGGUGUCCGCGAGGAGGAGGAGGAGGACAAGCUGGAGGGCCCGCGGCCGUCGGGGCGGCGGGAAGGGGCUGCAGCUUCGAGUUCGAGGACGAGGAGGACAACGUCGACUACGAGGACGAGGACGAGGAGCACCAGAAGGCCAGGAAACUCCUGUCACACACGGCCACCGCCAAACUGCCUCGCGGCCACCCCCGUCCGCUGGUGGCGAUCUUUGUGCCUCCAACCGAUAGCGAUGACCAUGCCUUUUUCAUGGAGCAGACGAUAUUGGAUCUGAGUUCGUGAAGGAGGAGCAAAUGGAUAUUUGGAUUUGUGUUGCUCCUUAUUAAUAUAUGUACAAACGUGUUUUCUUCAGGUUAUUACGGUUAACAGUGAUGAUCUAAUCUUAGAAGAUUUAAGUUCAUGAAGGAUAAUAAAAUUGGCGGCGUACCUGUAGCAGAAGGUCCUAAAAGGAAACUUUUGGUAGUGUGAGCAUAGGGAUAUUUGUUACGUCUUGAAGUUCAUGAAGGCUUACUCUUACUGAUUCAGGGGGCACCUACAUUAUUCGGUAUUUUGGUACAACUUAAGUAUAGGAUGUGCACCUUCCAUUUGUCUAUGCAUAAUUUUUCUGCUCAUGCAUGGUGCAUACUUUUGACUUACAUAUGAUGUAUUCAGCGAUGUCAUUGGUGACUCGUGUGAAGUUGCUGUUUUUUAUUCAGGUGCAAUGACACCGUGGCAGCCAUGGAGAAUAUAUGCAUGAAGCCGUGAGCAGUAAGCAGCUUAGCUAUUUAUUAUUGUUGGCCUUUUAAGUUUGAUAGUAUUGCUGGAUUACCUGCAUAUUAGAUGAUGAAUAGCUUGAGAAAAGCAAACCUUAUCAGUUCUAAAAUGUGUUGUUUUUUAGCAUAACUAAUCGUCGUGUGCUUAUACCAAUUAUACACUGCUAGAUAGACAUGCAUAAGUAUGCAGGUUGACGCAUAAGUCAUUUUACAGUAUGAUGAUGGUGACAAUCAACUAAGCUUCAACAACUUAUAACUGCAUGGCGAGUGGUCGAAUGCAUGCCUCCCCACACCUCGGUCGAUCCUUUUUUUCUGGGAGAGGCGUUUUAGCUCCCAGAGGGUGUUUCAGCGGUGUGCUCGAGGACGAGCAUUGACAGCGCGGGUGUCCGAUUUCCAGCAGCGCAGACAUGGCGAUGGAUUUCUCCAUCUCUCCGGUAGACAGGUUGCCCAUCUUCCUGGAUGAGGCGGCUAGCGUGGUGGCCCUAAUGGAUUUGAUUGGUGGCGAAGAGGAAUCCGCCAAUGGAUCUUGUGGGGCUGUUGUCGCCGGAUUUGCGCACGACUCAUCUGGGCAGUUCGUACGUGGUGUUGUGUGCAGCAAGGAGAGGACUGUAGCUACCGGUGGUGCCGCCAUGUCCGGUUUCAGUGAGAGCGAGGGUGACAAAGCAGAUGCAAUUGACCAAGCCGACGACCGAAGCACAUAUUGAUGAACACCAAGAGGCUGUGAUUUAAGAUCGAACUGAAAGUGGUGAUGGAGGGUCUGCUCAAUCUACUACUUGCAAGGUGGAUCCGCAAGCCCCUGGGUGGACUUAGAGGACACCCUGUCCCAGCGGGCUCGACACACUCUCCGCUUCGCUGAAAUUACAGGACACCCUGUCCCAGCAGGCUCAACAUUCUCUGCUCCGCUCAAAUUACAGGACCGGACACUAUGUCUGGGAAGAAUUUGUGCACUGGAGCAAAUGAUUUAGGGGUAUACAGAUUAGUUGGGUGAGCACGGUGCUAUUGGGCUAACACUAGACCCUAUGUAAGAAACAUAUGGUUUUUACAAUCUUUAUUCAUGGAAGCAUGGUUUCACCAUUA